AUAAUCCACAAUUUUUCUGUUGAAUAAUUUAUAUUUGAUCUGCCCACUUAAGGGAGGCACUCGAUCAACUGUGACUGCAGGCUGGUCAAGUGCGGUGUACGGGAGCCGGAGUCAUGCCGCUAUGGCUCAGGACUGAACCCUUGCGGUUGUUGCACAAUUUGCCUUCAAGGUCCGAAUGAACCGUGCGGAGGACCUCAGGGCAUCAACGGUAAAUGUGGCACUGGCUUGACGUGCGUUAAAAGCGACCCCAAUGAUAUCAAUUCAAGCGGAAAUUGCAAAGCAGUAAUCAAUGGAAAAUGAGCUCCCCAAUCAAAGGUGAAAAAUCAAGUUCAGAGCGUGCGAGGUCUAUGAUCAAGAAGAUACGCCUCGUUUAGUUACUGCUAUUGAUCGGGUUUCGUUUCAUUAUGUUUUUACUUGUUCUUUCCGCAUAAUUUGAUUGCAUUAGGAUGUCUGUUUAUAAGUGGUCUUCAUAUUAUCAAUAUAGUUUAGUAAAAAUUAUUCAUGUGUAUUCCUUGUGUUUCAUUAUUUUCUUCUUGUCGAAGAAGCGUGCGUAUAAGGAAACCAAAUUAAAAUCAAUAAUUUUUAUAAAUCGAGCAAUUAUUUCAUAAAAUGUUACAUUACUCAAAGGCUUUCCGCAGUUUCAGUAGUUAACUUUACUCUAAGUUAGCCGGGAUGAAAAUUUAUUUUACAGCAAUCGAAGAAAAUUGCCUGUUUUUUUUAUCUAAAGCGGUAUUCUGCGUGCCACUUACAAGAAUCUUUAAACAAGCCUUAAAUAACAUUCAAAGUCAGAAAAAUUACACCGCAGCUACUGAUAUUACACCGCAAAUUUGAAGGUAUUACAAUUUUACGUCCCAGAAAUUUGGAGAUGAAAUUUUUGUGAGACUUUCUGUAGAAAAAAAUUUUGCAUUGUCAUAUAAUAGCAACACCUCAUGACGACGCGGAGUGUUUGGAUGCAAAGCUGUGCUUCUUGCUUUAUUGCAACAAUUUGAAUGGUUUCCAGGAGACGAUCAUAAGUCACCACAUACCGAGAUGAUUAAAAUAAGUGAAAUAUUCUGUACAAAAAUCAUCGUUAAUUAUUUAACAGAAAAUCUAGCUCAGGGUACGCCAGCAGAUGUUGAUGAAAGGCAGACAUGUAAAGGCCCAGAAGAACAUCCUCUGAAGUUGUGCAACAACAA
rnacentral:lncRNA from 1 species